UGCCCUACUCCCCUCCUGCUCCCCCAACUUUUCUUUAAUACUUUACUAGUUCUUCACCUAGGUUAGAAGGUUGAUGGUUAAAUGUGUAAUUGCAUCAAAUGCUCUUCUGAAAUCUGAAAUAUUAAAUGUAAACCUAAAGAGAGAUGGUCUACGCAAUUUAUCUAGAAAAUUAAAUACACAUAUUUCCAUUUGAACUAAUAGAAGUACAGUUGUAUCCAGUAGCAUACUGAAGAGAAAGGCUAUAUGGAAAUCUAAAGAGUCUAUUUCAUUUGUCUAGAAAAUAAUGGUAAAGAAAGGGUCUGUAUUAAGUCUGGCCUAGUCUACCUUCGUGAGAAGCUCAAGUCUCUGAAAGGAGAAACUGGGUCACUAGAUAUCUUUCUAUGAAGAUCACUCAGUUUACAAAGAACUCGAUGCAACACUAAAUCUGGAAGUGAAGACGUGCUGUUUGUAGCAAUGCAAUCUGGGGAACAUAAACCGGUGCUGAUUUUUUUUCCAGUGCUCAAGUUGUUAGAUCCUAAAUUUCCAGCUGCUCAUACUGACACCUUUUCAGGGACUCUCUGUGAACAAUUUAAUCAUUUCUUUCAGCAGAAAAACUGACUCCAUUACAGUGCAGUGGCCCAGAGGACCAGCAGCAGCUGUUAAAAUGCAAUCACUGUUGAGCUCAUAUAAAUUGUUAUAAAAGUUCUUUCACUGUUUCUGUAUUUAAACUUGCUAAAGUACAUCCAGUAAAUGCAUCCAAAUUCUCCUUUAGAUGCUUGUUCCUAGUAGGGUUAUGAAAGAAGGUCUCUCUGUAGCAGUCUUUGUGUUGGUCUUUUAUCCUUGGUAAUGUUCCAGCUGCUCUGAAAAUGGCAAUUAUUAAUUCACUGUGAAAAAAAAAAAAAAAAAAAAGCACCACUUCUGUCCUGAUAUUCUGAUUCAUUUUCUUCCAAUUUCUAACCUGCUGUUUCUGGCAAAAGCCUUUUUGAUAAAGUGAGGGCUGAGUACUUCUGAGGCAGGCUUUGACAAAAUUAGGUGCCAUAUGUGACAAGUUUCAGUUGGUGUUUAUUUAAACUAGGGAGUAGACCACAAUGACUCCAUUUGGUAGCUCAGGUCUAGAUUGACAAAAGAGUAUUUAGCUGCUUGGCUCCUCUCUAGGGAGUAACCCCCUUGGGAGUUAGGCACCUUAUACCUUUGUGGACUUGAGUCUUUCAUCCUGAGUUGAUAGGAUAAAGUGAGUCUCUUUGGAGCAGGCCAGUGCCUGCUCUAGCAUCUCCCUCAUCCGACUGAAAUCACAAAACAGGUAUGUGCUUAAGAGGCUCCUGAAAGAUGCAGGUUCAAACUUUGUUUCCCUCAUCAGGCUUUACAGUGUGUGCGUGGGUGUCUGUGGAAACUGCAGUUACAGUAUGGCCGUGUGAAAAUGUUGCAAAAAAAGGCUGUGAAUGUAUAGGUAGUUAGCUACUUAAGAAAAAGGGGUUUUGUGUGAAGACUUACUCUAGGCUAAAUUUGAAGUACUUUAUGCUUCCCUUGCUGUGGAGGUGAGCUACCUGGAUUUGCCUGGUAUUUACCUGAGGCUAAGAAACACAGCUGGCUGGUUGCUCAAAAGCUGCUGUUGCACAGUAACCAGUUCAUAUACUCAGAAGAGAAAUUGUCAUCUAUUCACCUGGAGUUUGACCAAACCCAACACCAAACUAUU